CUACGUGCCAGCAGCCKCGGUAAUACGGAGGGUGCAAGCGUUAAUCGGAAUUACUGGGCGUAAAGCGCACGCAGGCGGUUUGUUAAGUCAGAUGUGAAAUCCCCGCGCUUAACGUGGGAACUGCAUUUGAAACUGGCAAGCUAGAGUCUUGUAGAGGGGGGUAGAAUUCCAGGUGUAGCGGUGAAAUGCGUAGAGAUCUGGAGGAAUACCGGUGGCGAAGGCGGCCCCCUGGACAAAGACUGACGCUCAGGUGCGAAAGCGUGGGGAGCAAACAGGAUUAGAUACCCUGGUAGUCCACGCUGUAAACGAUGUCGACUUGGAGGUUGUGCCCUUGAGGCGUGGCUUCCGGAGCUAACGCGUUAAGUCGACCGCCUGGGGAGUACGGCCGCAAGGUUAAAACUCAAAUGAAUUGACGGGGGCCCGCACAAGCGGUGGAGCAUGUGGUUUAAUUCGAUGCAACGCGAAGAACCUUACCUACUCUUGACAUCCAGAGAAUUCGCUAGAGAUAG
rnacentral:rRNA from 1 species